GCCUGGGUGGCUCAGUGGUUGAGCAUCUGGCUUUAGCUCAGGGUGUGAUCCCUGGGUCUGGGAUCAAGUCCUAAAUCGGGCU
rnacentral:tRNA from 1 species